UACGUAGGUGACAAGCGUUGUCCGGAUUUACUGGGCGUAAAGAGCGCGCAGGCGGUCGAUCAAGUCGAGUGUGAAAGCCCCCGGCUCAACUGGGGAGGGUCAUUCGAUACUGAUCGACUCGAAGGCAGGAGAGGGUAGUGGAAUUCCCGGUGUAGUGGUGAAAUGCGUAGAUAUCGGGAGGAACACCCGUGGCGAAGGCGGCUCUCUGGUACGUGACUGACGCUGAGACGCGAAAGCGUGGGGAGCAAACAGG
rnacentral:rRNA from 1 species